AUUUAAAUAGCUUAAAUUUAGAGCUUGAUAUUGAAGAUAUCAAAGUGAGGGAUAUCUUCUUUAAAUA
rnacentral:tRNA from 1 species